rnacentral:lncRNA from 1 species
AAAAAAAGUAGUGAGAAAGAAAGAUGAUGAAGGUGGAUGAACGAUUCCUCCCAAGCGGCGAUCGCGUGCGACUCGGCGAAGGUCCUCCCAAGCGUGCGACUCGGCGAAGGUCCUCCCAAGCGGCGAUCGCGUGUGACUCGACGAAGGUCCUCCCAAGCGACGAUCGCCUGCGAGCUCAAGAGGAAUCACCUCGGCGAAGGUCCUCUCAAGCGACGAUCACGUGCGAGC